rnacentral:rRNA from 1 species
UACGUAGGUGGCAAGCGUUGUCCGGAAUUACUGGGUGUAAAGCGCGUGUAGGCGGGAGGCCAAGUCUGCUGUGAAAUCGCCCGGCUCAACUGGGCGGGGUCGGUGGAAACUGGUCACCUGGAGGACGGUAGAGGCGAGUGGAAUUCCCGGUGUAGUGGUGAAAUGCGCAGAUAUCAGGAGGAACACCGGUGGCGAAGGCGGGUCUCUGGGCCGAUACUGACGCUGAGGAGCGAAAGCAUGGGUAGCGAACAGG